GAUGAAGAACGCAGCGAAAUGCGAUAAGUAGUGUGAAUUGCAGAAUUCAGUGAAUCAUCGAAUCUUUGAACGCACAUUGCGCCCUUUGGUAUUCCUUAGGGCAUGCCUGUUCGAGCGUCAUUUAAACCUUCAAGCUAAGCUUGGUGUUGGGUGACUGUCCGCUUCACGGCGGACUCGCCUCAAAAUUAUUGGCGGCCGGUACAUUGGCUUCGAGCGCAGCAGAAACGCGAACUCGGGCCCGUCGUAUUGGCUCCCAGAAGCUAUCUUCACAAUUUUGACCUCGGAUCAGGUAGGGAUACCCGGUGAACUUAAGCAUAUCAAUAAGCGGAGGA
rnacentral:misc_RNA from 1 species